rnacentral:rRNA from 1 species
AUUGAACGCUGGCGGCAUGCCUUACACAUGCAAGUCGAACGGCAGCAUGGAGAGCUUGCUCUCUGAUGGCGAGUGGCGAACGGGUGAGUAAAGCAUCGGAACGUACCGUGUAGUGGGGGAUAACGUAGCGAAAGUUACGCUAAUACCGCAUACGCACUGAGGUGGAAAGCAGGGGAUCGCAAGACCUUGCGCUAUACGAGCGGCCGAUGUCAGAUUAGCUAGUUGGUAGGGUAAAGGCCUACCAAGGCGACGAUCUGUAGCGGGUCUGAGAGGAUGAUCCGCCACACUGGGACUGAGACACGGCCCAGACUCCUACGGGAGGCAGCAGUGGGGAAUUUUGGACAAUGGGGGCAACCCUGAUCCAGCCAUGCCGCGUGAGUGAAGAAGGCCUUCGGGUUGUAAAGCUCUUUCGGCCGGGAAGAAAACUCGAUCUCUAAUAUAGGUUGAGGCUGACGGUACCUUGAUAAGAAGCACCGGCUAACUACGUGCCAGCCGCCGCCGUAA